GAUGAACGCUGGCGGCGUGCCUAAUACAUGCAAGUCGAGCAAACAGACGAGGAGCUUGCUCCUCUGACGUUAGCGGCGGACGGGUGAGUAACACGUGGAUAACCUGCCUAUAAGACUGGGAUAACUUCGGGAAACCGGAGCUAAUACCGGAUAAUAUAUUGAACCGCAUGGUUCAAUAGUGAAAGACGGUUUUGCUGUCACUUAUAGAUGGAUCCGCGCCGCAUUAGCUAGUUGGUAAGGUAACGGCUUACCAAGGCAACGAUGCGUAGCCGACCUGAGAGGGUGAUCGGCCACACUGGAACUGAGACACGGUCCAGACUCCUACGGGAGGCAGCAGUAGGGAAUCUUCCGCAAUGGGCGAAAGCCUGACGGAGCAACGCCGCGUGAGUGAUGAAGGUCUUCGGAUCGUAAAACUCUGUUAUUAGGGAAGAACAAAUGUGUAAGUAACUAUGCACGUCUUGACGGUACCUAAUCAGAAAGCCACGGCUAACUACGU
rnacentral:rRNA from 1 species